ensembl:lncRNA
CCCGAGCCAGUGCUCCUUCCUAAGCAACAUAAACUAAGCCUGUGAGCCACCACUGCUGAGCCCCCGUGCUACAACUACUGAAGCCCAAGAGCUCUAGAGUCUGUGCUCCGCAGCAAGUCACCACAGCGAGAAGCGCGUGCACAACUAGUACUAGUGCUCCACAACUAGUGUGCACAUAGCGGAGACCCAGAACAGCCAAAAAUUAUAUUUAAAAAAAAAGCAUGUUGCCAGGCUUAGCAAAAGAACUAAAGAAAAAAUAAGCAGAUGGAGAUCUACAGGGUGAAAUUUGAAUUUCAGAUAAACAGUGAACUUUUUUUGUAUCUGUCCCCCAGAUCGAGCAUCUUGUGCUUUAUUGGACAACCCUCAUUCAAUACUCCUCCCCCCGUACACACACUAUGCCUUUCUGAAAAAAAAAAAAAAAAAAACAGCAAAGCAACACAGAAACUGCUAGUCUGUGGCCUUUCUGGCAUCGACUUGUCAUCCCUCACCAGGUGCCUCCUCGGAGUCUCUGGCCCUGAGCAGCAGCCCUGCCCAGACACAACCCACACCAUCUUCCUGCUAAGUCUGAAAGCCCCUGAAAGCUGCACCCGAUGUGGAGUCCGGGCAAGGCCAGGACCUUGCUGGGAGUGAGAGGAGGACAUAGAGGCCCGGCAAGGGCUCCCUCAUCCCUGCCCCAACACCCAGCUGGGGCAUUUCCAGAAAGUGGUCCCUGCCCAGAGCAUGAACCCCAACUGGGCUCAGGGCCACAUGCCUGGGGCUGUUUCCUAGAAUUACUAGCCCCAUUCCGUGUCACUGUGGCCACAUCUUCCAUUGGCAGCCCAGGCUUGGUAGGAUCUAACAGGCCAGGUCCGGGCUGGGGUGGGGAGUGGGGAGGGAGCUCCCAGGCAAGGCCCUGCUUUACUGGGCUGCAGAGUCAGCCUGGGACACCCCUCCCUGGAGCUGCUGAAGAGAGGAGAUGGAGAUUCCCAUGAUCCUCGGGAUCCUCAUUGGAAUGGGGACCCAUCCCAAGGCCUGGGGAGCCUGGUACAAGCCAGAGAUGGCCAAACCAGAGGAGCUCGGAUAGGGGCUCACAUCACCCUGAUAGAGGCAGGGGGACACUCUGCCUGGAGUCAAAGUGGGAGAGAGACCUUCUCUGUGGGAAAAUUGGAGCGAUUUCAUGGGAGACACGAUAACUGAGCCCCUGAGAAUUUCACUAGAUCAGAGAAUUGGGGAACGGAGGGGUAGGGUGAUCAGUGGCAAUGGCCUGGAGGCUGUGCCACAUGGAGAAGCUUCCUAAAAUGACCAAAGGCCAGCAAGGCUGGGUAGAGGCAGCUCUGGGGAAAGUGGCAAAGCCAAGGGACACAAGACGUGCCCAGAGAGGAGCUGGACCUGUGAGGACGAGCAGACCUGGACCUUAGAUGGAUCAGCCCCUGAGACUCAGGCGGCACUGCUAACAGUAA